UACAGAGGUGGCAAGCGUUGUUCGGAAUUACUGGGCGUAAAGGGCGAGUAGGUGGCCAUCUAAGUCAGACGUGAAAUCCCCCGGCUUAACCUGGGAACUGCGUCUGAUACUGGACGGCUUGAGUAUGGGAGAGGAACGUAGAAUUCCAGGUGUAGCGGUGAAAUGCGUAGAUAUCUGGAGGAACAUCAGUGGCGAAGGCGGCUGCCUGGCCCAAUACUGACACUCAGGUGCGACAGCGUGGGGAGCAAACAGG
rnacentral:rRNA from 1 species